ACGAACGCUGGCGGCGUGCUUAACACAUGCAAGUCGAACGGAAAGGCCCUGCUUUUGUGGGGUGCUCGAGUGGCGAACAGGUGAGUAACACGUGAGUAACCUGCCCUUGACUUUGGGAUAACUUCAGGAAACUGGGGCUAAUACCGGAUAGGAGCUCCUGCUGCAUGGUGGGGGUUGGAAAGUUUCGGCGGUUGGGGAUGGACUCGCGGCUUAUCAGCUUGUUGGUGGGGUAGUGGCUUACCAAGGCUUUGACGGGUAGCCGGCCUGAGAGGGUGACCGGCCACAUUGGGACUGAGAUACGGCCCAGACUCCUACGGGAGGCAGCAGUGGGGAAUAUUGCACAAUGGGCGGAAGCCUGAUGCAGCAACGCCGCGUGCGGGAUGACGGCCUUCGGGUUGUAAACCGCUUUCGCCUGUGACGAAGCGUGAGUGACGGUAAUGGGUAAAGAAGCACCGGCUAACUACGUG
rnacentral:rRNA from 1 species